GCAGACUUUUUCUGGACAGUGCAAAAUAGUUUGUGUGUGCUAUAUAAUUAUUAGAAUUCCUAGAGGUUGUUCUGAAGAAGUUCAAAGCAUGGGCCAUAGUUUAUUUUUAAAUAUAUUUGAGUAGAUUUUGCAGUCGGCAUAUGACAGAAGGAAUCUGAAUUUUGUCUUUGAAAAACCACCACUGUAGGAGCUGGAUUAUUCAUUCCUAUGUAUUUUUCCUGUCCUAGAAAGAACAGAACAAGUAAGAAAGAAGAAGGAAGGAAGGAAAAGGAAGGAAAAAAGAAAAAGGAAACAAAAAGAACAUAGGAAAGAAUACAGAAAAAAACAUCAGAAAAAAAAAUGGGAGGAAAAGAACAGAAAAGAAAACAAUGGGACAAGAGGGGGAAAAAAAAAAGAAAGAAAAAGAAGGAAAGAAACUUGGAAAAAGACAAUUCCAGUAUACUUCCUGAAAGGAUUUUCAGUAAAAGACUAAUAAGCCAUAUACUGCGACAGUACUGUAAGUCAGAGGAAGAAGGCUAUGAAAUGGAGUGGGCAGCUACACACAUCAGGACCACUAAGGAGAAAGUUCUAGGUGAAGGCAGUCGUGAAGCACACACAUCCUACAGAAUGACCACGAUAUGGACUGCAGUUCUUCACACUGACAGCGUGAGAAGAAAGAAGAAACAGUGACGAAUUCACCCUGUGUAUUAAGGACCUCUACCACCUCCUCCCGUUAACCCCCACCUUACAUCCUUGUCCUGCACCUCUGGAAGCUCAUUUGUUAGUGCAAUGUCAUGUGUUCUCUUUAGUGCCUCAACUCAGGGUGCUGGUUGGAGGCAGCUGGGUGCUCCCUCCGUAUAAUAUGUGUCCUAGCCCAGGCUGAGGGGGCAAACCUGCUCCCUCUGGACUCUGUAUCCAGAUUAGGUAUGAGUUUGACAGAGAGCUGUUCUUCUUUGGAGUGUUAAUUCUGUCUUCAUUAGUGAAUUUAUGCAUAAAAGAAAGAAAACACGAACAGCACCAAUGUGAUCAUUCACCCAAGAGAUGUCCAUCCUGAAUCAAAGCAAACUGUGGCAGGUAAAAUCCAGCCUUUCAUUUCUGUUGGAAUGCAGCUGGCCAACCUCCCUUACCCUCCGAGCCACCUUAGAGGGUAAAGGGGCUAUGAACUUUGCAGAGAUUCACAAGUGGCACCCAACAUCCCACCAGUCUGCUGCAAGCACAAUGCUUUUAUUUUGAGACGAAGAGAUGAAGUCUGGGAAUCUACUGCGUGCCAAAGUCUUCCUGGAGAAUAUGGAGCUCCCUCAAAAUUGAGCUGGUGUGAAACUGCUCUGAGCCUACAAGUGCCUGCAAUACGACAAGUGCCUGCUGUACCACCACUCUCAUCUCUGAAACCAGUUUCUUCAUCGCCCCACAAUCGAUACAGAUGUUGCUGUAGUCAGGCAACAGAAUGCCAAUGCAGCACCCUGGGAACAGAGGAGCAGUUGUUUUCACCCUCUGUCAGGCAAGGAAAGCACCUGCCUCUUUCCAACAAGAACUUAUUCAGCUUGAGCAUCUCCAUAUGAAACAAUUAAUGGAACAGAAAGGCAGUGAGAAGAAAUCCACCAAGGGUAAGUGAUGUACACGUUGUUCAGACUCCACAGUGUCCAUUCACUUGUAGGUAAGUGCUUUUAUGACCAUGUGUACCACUUUGGCUGAGUGAUCCUUGCAGAUCUUGUGGUGGAGCAUAUUCAAAGGAUGUACAUAAGCCAUGGCACAGCUGCUCCUGACAUGCCUUGUGCAAGAAAUCUUAUUUUUACCCUAAUUUUGGGAAAUAAGAAGUUGGCUAAUAAUGGCUUUAUUGCUGGUCAUGUUUCAGCUUUUCAUUCUUUUUCUUGAGUUGUGCACAGCAGCUCAGCAGCAGUCAUUGUCCUUUACAGGACUGAAGCUUCCCAGAGUUAGAUCAUGAUCUGCAAGCCAUGGUCCUCGGUGCUGAGCUCAGCUGCUCUACAGCAGAACUCGUGCUAGCAGUGUUACUUAUGACAGCAUCACAGCUUCUUGUACUGGUGGAGCUCAAUGUUCUCUAUCUAUGAGUUUAAUAGCUAUCUUCAACAUUGGUAGCAAAGACUUUUCUUGUUGUUUUCAGUUUAGAGAUUGCAUAGAAGGACGUGCAGUUAUGAACGACUGCUCUUAGGGAAAUCAAAAAUCCUUUUUACAUUUUGUUUUACUAAUGAAGGUAUCAAAGUCACACUCAAGAAGCAAGAGGGGGAGGGGUUAAGCUUUCAGAAACUAUUCAGGUUAGCCUGCAGAUCCCUGCAUGUCCUCUCACUUCAGAAUUGAAAGCUCCAUGUAAUUUGCCUGUCUCCAUAUCCUUAAGUGCAGUCUGAGUAGCUCAGAUUUACACAAACUUUGCUUAGAACAGAUCAUUAUCUUUUGCUGAACCACUUCCACAGCAUUUGGGCAUGUUUUCCAGAUGAGACAUUCAAAGUGGGUGAAUACAUAUGGUACCUCAGCAGGUUUUUUUUCCUGUGAAGUUAAAAGCAUGCUAGGUGUUACCACACAACAUUUGCAAUGACUAUCAGCUCAGCAUUUAAAGUGUUGUCUUACCAGUGCUUGCUCAUCCUCAGAGAAACCUGUUCUUGCCAAAAUACAGCAAUGGGGUUUAAUCCAACACUGUCAUUUCAAAGCAAUCUCUCAAAUUCGGUAAGCAAUAGGCCAACGGCCACUGCAGCCUUAGUAGAGGAGGAAUACAUGCCCAUUGGUGCUUCUCAGGCUAUGUGUAAGUUAAUGCCUGUGCACACGUGGCUUUGGAAAUCCACCAAGUAAAUUACUCCUGCAGUUCAAUCUGCUGGUAGCAGAACUGCCAAAACCACUGAAGCUGAGUGAAAUCCUGUAUUCGUGAAUGAUGCUCUGAAGUUCACAGGAAGUAAAUCCAAGUUUAAUUCUUCUGGAUUAAGAUACUUCCAUUUUUUAUCCAGGAUUCCCUGCCUUUGUGGCACUGCUAGCUUUCAAGCCUAUCAGAGAGGAUUUCUCUCAAAGUAGUGCUUAUCACAGUAUGCCAUUCUCCCCAGUCCAAUAAAACCUCCACAACAAAUUCACUUCCUAAUUUUUCCAGAGGUGACAUUAAUGCAGGCAAGGUGACCCUAAAGAAACUUCUGGGCUCUCAGCUACCAACACUCUGAUAGCAGAAAUUGUCACUAAGCAAUCAAGAGAUGACUGUUUUGUCUGAACUCCUUUUCAAACUAAAGCCCAACGUGUGAAGCUGAGAAACUGCAACACAGAACAAGGGCAACAUUCCUCUCCUAGCAGAAGCCAUUUGAUAGAUAGCCAAGCCCCACUUAUGCACUGAUACUUACCUUAGUUCAACUCCAGUGUGAAUCCCAGAUCAGAAAGUAGGCAGCCGGUAUUCAGCUCCAUUUUCCAGUUGAGCUGGCAGUGCUGGUCCCUUGCAGUAUGAAUAAGUAGCAGUGGUUCACAAGCCACAGAGCCAAGAGAGACCCAGCCAAGGCAAGGUAUGCUGCUGCUUUCUGCUCAGGUUUUGAGGAGGAAACAGCAGCCAAAAUCUCAGUCACUGCGUAACAGUUCAAGCCAUGCAGUAAUUCUGACACUGGAAGGUACAGCCAAAUAAAUAUAUUUCAUGGUACCAAAACACAAUGGUUCCAACAAGUCAGACUGCUCAGGCAGGUUCCUAGUUUGUGUAGAGUGCACGAGGGCUGGUUUUGCCACCAACACUUUCCCUGGGUUGUUAGCACUUCUGGAAAAGCAUCAAGCACAACUGACACAGCAAAGCAUACUGAUGCUAUUUAACAUGCUCAAAGAAAUACCAGAAAGACAGAGGCCUACACACAGCCUCUCUUUCCUUGAAAAGGUCCAGAUUACCAGGGCUUUUGGAGCAACGAAGGAUAUAGUUUUGCUUACUGCUGUAUUACUGUGCUGACAUGUAUCACAGGAUAUGGAGGCAGGAGGAAUGAGGCAUGCCAGCUGCAGGCUCACGCCACCUCCUUUUGGGAAGUAAACCACCCCAGCAACUAUUUCAAAGUUUAAUAGCAGUGUUAACAUACUGAAGGUAGAAACGGGCAGGCAGAUGCUUAGCCAGCAAAUUUCAUUCCAAACAAAGAGCAGACAAACUGAGGAGAAAAAAAUGUGGAAUCGGAGGAAGAGAAAAAAAAAAGAACUCCAAUCUGAAAACAAAUGGUGAACAAGAAGUAAAAGCAGAAACAAGGCAAACAGAAUAAGACACAAUGACACAAAAUAAGGACUGAAUAGAAUCUCAUCAGUUGCGAUGUUGUGAAGCUACAAGACAUCCCUGUCACUCAGUUCCUGAAUGCGUUUUGGCUGAGGCAGGAGAACUUCAGUUCUCUAACACUGUCCAAAACAGUAAUUUGGACUAUUUACCAUACAGCUAUUCUCCACGUCCUGUCAACGGGAUCCUACUUAUCUAACUUACUCCCAUAGCCUGAUCACCAGACGUUACCUCUGAUGCUCCUACCAGCUGCCCAAGCAGACGAGGAUGAACAUCCUUUUUUCUGCUUUAUAGUACCUGUUUGAGACAGCACUGGGCAGCUUGCACCUCUGUUGCUCAUAAGCAGCCUUGCCCUCCGCGGUGAGGGCUUCAACUUAGCUGUCAGCUGCCCAUCUUUGACAAGCGCAGCAGUUUCUUACUUUUCUUACUGUACCGCAAGGGCAAAAAGAAAGGUAGAAGUGUUAUUCUAAUAGGAAUAGUAUGAGAGGAAGGAAAAAAGAAAGCCCUAGAGCCCUACUUUUGACCACUAGUUUACAAAUGCUGGCACCUUUGUCGACAUGAAUUUUUGAAGUGCAAGCACAUGAAAGGCUAGGGAGUACUGGCAGAAGGAGGAAGUAUUUUCCUAUAAUGAGUUUUAUUACAAAGUCAAAUGAUUUGUUUGCUAUUUCAUGCAAGCUGUAUUCCUUUUGCCUUUUUACUGUAAGGAUGAGCAGAAACUAUUACACUGAUGUAAAGCUUAGUGAAAGCCAUUUAGAAAGAUCAGAGAAACUUUUAAAAGUAUUUUAUUCUUUUUAGUACAGAUACAAUAUUCUUUCAAGGUCACUUCAGAGUAAGUGGCAUGCAGCCUAUUGAAAUCCAGGUGCCCAUACAGUCAUUUCAAGUUAAAUGUGCACAGUGUAUUCUACAACACUAAAACUACAUUUAGAGAGGAGAGGAGCUCUUGCUUCAGAAUGAUUUGGCAGCUUCAAAACCAAUUCAAUAAGCAUUUUCAAAACCAACUCAAUAAACAACAAAAACCAAAACUGAAAUGCAGCACACCCUGACCAUCAAACAACACACUUAUCUGAGUAAGGACCUUUUAGCAGAUCUGGCUGAAGCAGCGGCAGAGCCAUCUUUAUCGUGACCUUCGAAGUAUUGCUGCUCUAUUCGCCUACAAAAGGCUGUGAGGUUACCAUAGUUUUUCACUUUUUCAGAGAGUUCAUCAGUGAUUAGUUGAGUAGUAAGGAUUGUGAACAGAUGUCCAAAUACCAGAGCAUCUAAUUCAGUUGGUCUGUAAAAACAGAAGAACAGAACAGAUAUUUUGGAAGGCAAGUCCUGAUCGAGAAACAUCCCAUCUCUGGUUUGAGUAACUUCCAGGUAACCACACAACCUAAGAACUGAGAAUAAAGCAACACUGAAUUCAGCAAACACACAGGAAAUAAACAUAGAUCUCAAUAUGCCAUCUUUCUUUCCUUUUGGUGAUUGGGAAACAUAAAAAUAACACUUACAGAAGGAGCACGGUUACUGAUCAAAGUCAGCCAUGCUCCACCAUUGGUUUUGUUCCUGCAACUCUUUUCUAAAUAAAUAAAUGAAUGACUCAACUGAAAACUAGAAGAGGGGGAAAUGAAGCCCUUCCUAUUCCCUUUUUGUGCUUUUUCAUACUCGAGCUACUUAGCCAAUAAGAAAAGGAGCUCCAGAAUGACAACAGCCGGCGACAUUUAUUUCAUAGAAGUGGACACAAAGCAGGUGUCACAGAAGACUCUUUAGAAAUGUCAGCCUGCUCUUGGUUAAUUGUCACACCAACAUAGUGGUAAUUUUGCUCUUUUUCAGUGUUACUCCCCUACUACUGCUUAAUCCACAAAACCUCCAACUCUGCCUGCAGAGGAUGCCUAAAAACAAGAGCCUGAGAAACCUGGAGGUUUUCAGCACCGUUCAUUACACUACAGUUAUCAGCCCUGAAUACAACCCAGGAAGUACUCCACAGAUGUUAUAUAGCAUUUAAUUUAAAUAUGUAAAAAACUCACUGAAUUACAGAGAAAAAAAUAGCAUUUUGCAAUUGGCAUCAACGAGUGGAAGCAAAAGACAUCCAACAAAGGCCAGGUUGUUCCUUUUAUCUCCUGUCCUGUGCUUAGUAAAGAACGCUGCCUAAGAAAUACAAGCUAUAAACAUAUCUUUCUUUGUUUCUUUUUAAGAAAUUAACUGUAUACAGGUGCAAGCUUGUAGACUACGUGAGCUGUGGUGCUCUCUUUGUAAAUAAAGACAAAUAGGAAUAAAAAUGAAUUAUCAAUUAAAAAAAGCCUUACAUAAACUUUCCUUUUAAAAUCUAUAGUGACUUGUUUCUGAAAUUGUAUUGCAGCCACACAUUCAAAUUUCCUCAUCCAUUAAUGUAACGUUAAAGUAAAACAGAAGGUUUCCAUACUUAUACCUGUAUGCACAUUUUUUAAAUAUACUUCUGUAGAUAUACAGGUGGGGUUUUUUGUGGAUAUACCAUUUCUGUAGAGAGUAACUUACUGCUUAUUGAAGAAAUAUGGUUGUGUUCCUAAUCUCUGGGAGAGAGCCUGACAACACUGGUCUACAUCUUCAAGCACCUAUCAAAACACACAAGAGAUAAGAUAAUCAUCUUGUCAGGAAAGAACAACAGUAAAUAUAAAUAUAUAUAUACACCUUCUUACUGUACUUGUGCUGACAGAGGGGACAAGGAAUAUACAAUGUUGGAGCAUCAAAAGCUGUUAAAGGUAGCAGCUAAGUGUUAUUUAAUCACACAUUUAACAUAGAGCCAACUCUAAUUAAGUGCUUUCCAAGAAAUGUUUAACUUAGCUUAAUGAAAGGUACUAACUUACAUAUCAAACUGCUUUCUUUGUUGUUUUUUUUUUAGACUUCUGAGAAGUGAAGCUGCAGUCCUGCAAGGUGUGCCUAUUAAUGCCACAGGAGAGGGGCAAUAAUUAAAAAUGUGUUUUUCAGGACCACCGGCUGAACUAACAUGAACAGAGAUGCACAUGUGGUAAAGCAUCCUUCCUCCCACUCCAUCAGGCUGUACAUCAGUUAAGAUUUAUCACUGCUGAUGACAGAUACCUGACCUCACAUAACUCUUUAAGCACAGAGUUUUGUUGUAACAGUUGUAGUUAAAUAAAGUGUUAUUUCUCUUAAGCCUUAAAUAAAAGAACAGUGGAAAACAGUGGGAAGAAAUAAGCUUCACCCCUCAUACUGACCUGUUCAAGCGACUUGCCAGCCCACCCAAUGGCCUUCAUCUUUCUCCUUAUCUCCCAUUGCUUCUGAUAGGACAAAAUGCGGUUAAGAGGCCAGGGGUAAGGGGAGCCAUACCUCGGGUGAGUAAUCUUUGGUAAGAAACAGAAAGUGACUUUGUUAUCAUAUAAACAAUGCAGACAGCUCUAUUUACAAAACAGCUAGUAGUCUCAUCUUUCUAUCACUGAGAGCAAUAAAGAGAAAGAAUGUUGUGUGAUAUGCUGCAAUUAUUUGUGCAGAAUUUAUUGUUUUCAGUAGAACCAUUUAAAAUUACUACCUUGGAAACAUAUGCAAAACUCCUAUUUGUUCCACAGUCACAUACCUCCAGUCAAGUUACAACUUCCCUAAAAUGUAUAUGCAAGCAGAAUGCAAGUGAAAAGACUGUAUCAUUAAUGGUACAGAGCUCAAUGUUUCAUUUAUGAGUAGGGACUUCCAUUUGUGAGCAAAAGUGUUUUCUCAUUAAAUUUUAAUUAAGAUAAAUGUUGCAGAACCACUCACCUCCUCUACUGUAACAUCAUCACACCAUUGCAGAUAGAGCUAGGAACAGAAAGAACACUUACUACAACUUCCUAAUAAACGAGAAUACAGAUACAAUCAUUUCUCACUAGUAGAAUUUUCCUUUCUAUAUUAGAUUAAAUUUCCAUUUAGUGCCUUCUAUUAGACUUCUGAACAUAGUAAAGAAAUUAAAACUAGAGUCACAAGCCCAGCUCCAAGUUGCUGGCUCACAAGCAGCACAACCAGGCUGGAGCCGAAGGCCCGCUCCAGUUGCCUGUGCCACACACAGCUCAACACACAGGUUCCCAGCCCUCAGCCGUGUGCCUGGGGUUGCUCGUGCCUGCGAGCAUUUCCAGCACCGGCACCACGUCACAUUAACGGCUCAUGGGCACGACCCGCGGGGCAGGCCAGCCUCCAGCAAGGCACAGGAGCGUGCAUGGAAGGCGACAGUGGGGCUGUACAGCAGGCUAUGGGUUGAGGCAGGAACCCAAGGACUGCUGGCGUUUUCCAUGCACGCAAAUCAGGCAUUUCUACAGCUACGGGGCAUGCUUCAGACAGGUGAGGGGAGCUGUACACGUGGCUUGUGUCUGCAGGAAUAUUUCAUCAAGUAGUCCUCAGGAUCCAGAGAAUUUAUUCCCGUCUCAUUUCACCUUAAAAACCGAUGACCUGAUUUAAGAUUUAAUCUAAGAACAAACACUAUUUCCAGAACGAGAAAAUAUCAUGAAGCAUUCUUGCCUACAAUCGCUUAUGGAAGUAUGUGCAGUUACUAUGGUUUGCUGUACCUCCGCUGUCAGGAGCAUAUUAUUGACUAAUUCCAUGUAGGCUUUCAUCUCAGCUUUUUGGACUUCAUCCAACCCAUCGCUGAGAGAAUGGCCCUAAUGGGGAAAGAAAGAGACACAUAAGAGAGGAUAUUGGAAUAUUCAGCAAUGCCUGACCCAAGGACCUCAGAAGUCAACGUGCUUUGGCUCAGAUACUGAUCUGUCACACAGCACGUAACAAGUUGUGUGUGUACUUUCUGCAUAAAGCAUCCUUUAGAAUGAAAAAGAAAUCAUCAUAAUGUAACAGAAGUGAUCUGCAAUAAAUGUGGGUUGUUAGCAGUUACAGGUGAGCACACAACCUGUGUCAAGAAGUAAACACAGAUUUACAUCUGUGCUGCAGCUUUAUGAAGUGCUCACUGAGAAGACAAUGUUGUUGAAAAUACAGCUUCAAAAUUUACACCAGUAAUUUCUGGGUUUAAGAAUUCUCAGACAGAGAUGUAGAAAACCAGCUGCAGAAAUUGGCAGUGGUAUGCACGUGUCCUGCAUGGGAUUUGCUUCCUGAAUUUGAGGUAAUGCCAAAGUGAAACAUUUCCACCUCAGCGCUCUCACUUCAGAGUAUCUUUCUCUUGAACCAGCACGAGAUUGCUGCACUGUUUCAAACAGUAACGUUCCAGAAGAGCACAGCAGCUCCACAGCAGUCUGAGGAAGACUGGUACGCAACCCAGCAACAGACGCAGACCCUGUGUGAUUACCUUGGCUUUCACAAACUGGACUAUGGGCCCGAGUUCAGAUACUACUUGGUUUCCCACAUGAAUAAAGGGCACUUUGCCUGUAAAAUGAGAAAUGUAUUUUAGUAGGAGCUUUUUAUACAUGUCAACCAUCAUUUCAUAUUUUCAAAGCAAUUAAAUAUCGCACGUAUGCCUGAACACCAGUCUUGGUUUUUUGUUGGGUUUUUUUCCAGUUGAGCACAGGUGAAGUUUUUACAUAUGAAGCUCACGCAGCUUUCAUUUGUAAUAACCAACGUAACCACCCCAUCUUCUUCCUUCUGACCCUCUUUGACGUGCAAGACUUGCAAUUCCCUAUCUCAAAGUUAUUGAAUGAGAUCUAUUGAAUGAGACCUGUAUUUUAAUAACGCAUUUUGCUUUGCUGGAAAGACUGAAUUCAACAUUUCUCUGAAGUACAGGUGGGAAAUCCCAGGCAAUCAGACUGAGCCCUCGGACAGUAUGACAAGACAUUCCCACCCUCCCUUCCAUCCCACGAGCAGGGAAAGGGCUGCUGAAAUGGAUGUGGGAGAUGUGGCACCGAGCCCAGAAAAGCAAGCAGGGAAAGCAAAAUGCACACUCAGCACGGCAGGAUCUUGUCUCUCCCUCCUCCCAUCCUCCAGAUUUCCAGUGACUGGGACCAGUUCUUAAAGGGGAUCUGAGGGCUCCUCCUUCAACCCACCCUAACCACGCCGCUCGUUCUCUAACUCUUCAACCAGCUGCAACUGACUAACAGCAACUUUAAGUACUGUGUAAAUUUAAGGCCAAAUGUUCAUGAUUACUUACAUGACUGAAAUUGGCCAUAAGACAGAGACACACUGGGCAGUUUGCAUUACUGAGAAAGCCCUCGUGACCAAAUACAGCAAAGAAGCCACCCAGUGCAGUGGGACACAGCACACUCUUACUUCCCUGUCUCGCUGUGGGCAAACUCUGCUCUCUACAGAGAGCCCGAAAGCAAGAUCAAUACCUGCCCAGCUCCAAACAUAUUAUUAGCAAUACACGCAUUCCUUUCCUCUGACACACGUAAAAGCUACUGCUGGCCUAGUUCACACGGAGUUCAUGCUCACAGCACAUCCAGUCUUUAUUUUUACCCCAAGAUUCACUCUCACUGGCUCAGUCGGCCUCAGGGUAAAGAAGUGACCAUACCAAAGGCUGCACUGCAUCCAUACACUGCAUACUGUGAAAGAAAACGCAGCCCCCUCUGAGCUCCAAAGCGUUGCAGUUUCUGUCAGGCUACACUUCACACACAACAGCCCUCUGCUCCUCCACUUCUGACUCCCUCCUAAUGGAUUUCCUCAUUAUGCGGACUGUGAGGUAAAUAACCUUCACCCCAAAAAGAUGAGGUGCACAUCUGCCUACUGCUGUCAUGAAACAGUCGGUGACAGAGAAGGAGUGGACAGCAAUUAAAAACCUGUUUUGAAUUAUCCUUACAGAACCAAGAUAUUGCAAAGAAAGGCAACUGGGAAAGUAAAUAAAAAUAAGUCCAGGAGUAAGGGCUAAAAGAGCACGUGUGCCUUUGUUUAAAACUGAGUUGGUAUCAGUUCCCUUUGUGCUCAUUUUCAUCAACCAGCAGAAGGAAGAAGGGGUCAGACCCAUAUUACAGGACAGGUGCCCACAAGUGUGGCCACGAGCUUUGGGGGGCAAAGGGCACACGGCUGCCACCCGUCCCGCUGCUGCACACCUAAGAAGCUCCUCUGUGCAGACAUUCAGCAUUCCAACGCUACCUUUAUUUGCUAAGGAAUCAUGUAUAUAACUCCAAGAUGUGGCUACCUUUUACUCUGUUUCCACUUGCUUUGCCUGCAAUACCAGCAGCCACAGAACCAGUACAAGUGGCAGCCAUGCUAACAGGCAGGCAUCAGCUGGAGGCAGGCAACUGGCAGAGAGACACCUCCUACUGCAACAAAACACUGGGAAGGAGUGCAAGGACUGCCAGACCGGACAGCCCUGCAGUCAGCUGCUCGCUGGGUUUUAGGCAACCUUCUGGACCAGCCUCUGGGAAAUUUUAGGCAACCAGUCACCCUCAGAAGCAGACUGUACACUUCACGUGCUUAAUUUAUUGUGGGAGGGUUUGGUGGGGUUCUGGUUUGGGGUGUUUUCGUUUGGUUGGUUGUUUUUUUCCCCAGACAGUCUCCUUUAUCAGAGAAAGGUUUAAAAUCACCUGUCACCCUCGGCUGACAACACACUCACUCUUCAUUUUCACCCUGUAUUUACAUACUGGCCAUUAUCUCUCAGGUAAGGUAACAAAAGAGGCUCUCUCCAGUUUUCUCACCCCAGCAAUGGGAGAACAUACCAGCACGCACUGAUCAGCAGGAAUAUUCCCUGGAUGCAGAAUAAAGACAUUCUUGGAAACAUAAGUCUUUCUGCUUAGGCCUUUUAGAGAAGAUUGCCACCAGAGAUUUGAGCUGUGUGACUGCUACACCAAAGCACUGCGUUCACAGCCUCAGUUCCAUAUUGUACCACCCUUACGUGACAUGUAACUGUUCUAAUUGUUUAUGGGAAGGAGCUGGCGAGGAGGGGGAAGGCCCCGCACGGGGCAGCGCUGACCGACUGUUAUCAGCGAGAGAAGGCACAGUUGCCAUGGUACCAAAAUGGAGGUGUAAUGCAGUAAUCUAAAUGAAGGCCGCACUUACCAGAUGGGGACAUGUACUCAGCAUUGGCCCUGCAAACCACCCGAACCGGCAGAUUGCACAUUUGCAAGAAGGCCUGGAAACAAAGCAUUGAGAGAGCAUUGAUACACCAGUGACAAACAGAUGCGUUCUUCUCGAUACAUUUGACUACAUCUUAGCAAACUGUAAGCACACACCUACCAAGUACAGCUCCUCGCAUAAUGCUUUUAAGAAAAAAAGAAAACCACGGUUUUCAACUUCUUCGGACAAUUAUCAUCCAGCCAAUGGCUGGAAUUCCUCUAAUUAAGAUUCUCCCCCACACACACACUUAAGAGAUGCAAAGAAGCAGUGCUGUAGCUGCAAGAAAUUCAGUGACAUUCUGCUCCUCCUGAAAACCACAGUAUGUACUUCUUGUGGCUGAAGCUGUCUAACCAAGCUUACAUUGUGUAACACAGCAAACACGCAGCACCUUCCCACACUGCAACAGUCAUCAGAUCUUUUGCUUUACAGUACUCUAUGAGCACAUCUGCCUUAUUUAUUUCCUCUAAUUUAUGUGAACUGUACUGAGUGCAAGUGAUUAAUUUACUGCUUCCUUCAUCUCCAGCCCUGGAUUCGGACAUUCUCACUAGGAUACACACUGCUGUCAGCAGCUGCCAUUGCUACAAAAGCCCUGACAUGUUUCUGUUUAAACAGCAAAAUAUCAAGAAAUGUAAUUUGGAUGUAUCGUGGAAAUAAGGAAUCUUCAUCUCCAGAGUCUCUCACAGCUCAGCUCAAGUCCUAUCAUUCAUUUUGUCUUUGCCAUUAGAAAGGUCAGAACGCCAGAUUCCAACAUCACACCUUUUUAUCCACUGUGGCUGGAAGCUGAAGCCUACACCAAGGUCACUAACCAUGAAGGAAAAGGCUGCUGGAAGUUGAGGGGCAGCACGUGCUCUGCAUUCACCGUAAGCAAGCAGACCAAAGCCAAAAUGCUAAGAUCUUCAAAGAUGGAAAACAGUACAGCAUACUUUUAAAUCCUGUUUUGGAAACAGCUAUCCCAGCCUGAACAACAUGUACUCCAUGUGCACUUCUGUCUCAUUUGGGAGAGGGGGUAGAAAACCAAAGGAAACAAAGUACACAGCAUCCAGCAAAGCCCUGUCACAGGCUUCCAGAACCUGACCUGACCAUAACUAUGUAUGGGCAGGAAUCAAUGCCCGUGGCAGAAGGGCACCUCUGCUCGAUGUAAGACCACGAGGUGUUAACAAAUACCAACAUCAGCCCCGUUCCUAACUUUGCGGCUUCUGUAGUACCCAUCAAGCAAACGAACAACCCACUCCUCUCCUCCUCAGGAGCUUCAUUCCCAAACCCUAACCCAAGCACUGACGCUAACAGUACCCAGGGAACAAAAGCCAAAAGCUUUGGUCCCUUCCAAUGCCUCUUCCAACCAACUCAAGAACCCCACAGCCCAUUACAUCAUUUGGCUCUCGCUAUUUCAGAUGACCUAAGUGAAUCCCAAACCCCAAAUUAAAGCAGGGAGCUAUGGUCACAAGCUGCUAAAGACACUGAUUACAGCUGACAGGAGCGCCUGCCUCUGAACUCGAGAGGCUCAGCAAAAUCCAC
rnacentral:lncRNA from 1 species